rnacentral:rRNA from 1 species
AUACGGAGGAUCCGAGCGUUAUCCGGAUUUAUUGGGUUUAAAGGGUGCGUAGGUGGUUUGAUAAGUCAGCGGUGAAAGUUUGCAGCUUAACUGUAAAAAUGCCGUUGAAACUGUCGGACUUGAGUGUAAAUGAGGUAGGCGGAAUGCGUGGUGUAGCGGGGAAAUGCAUAGAUAUCACGCAGAACUCCGAUUGCGAAGGCAGCUUACUAAGCUACAACUGACACUGAAGCACGAAAGCGUGGGGAUCAAACAGGAUUAGAUACCCUGGUAGUCCACGCAGUAAACGAUGAUUACUAGCUGUUUGCGAUACACAGUAAGCGGCACAGCGAAAGCGUUAAGUAAUCCACCUGGGGAGUACGCCGGCAACGAUGAAACUCAAAUGAAUUGACGGGG